UCUCUCGUAGCUUAGUGAUCAGAGUAUUGGCGCAUUACGCCAAAGGUCCGGGGUUCGAUUCCCGGCGGGGGUG
rnacentral:tRNA from 1 species